UUAAGCGACUAAGCGUACACGGUGGAUGCCCUGGCAGUCAGAGGCGAUGAAGGACGUGCUAAUCUGCGAUAAGCGUCGGUAAGGUGAUAUGAACCGUUAUAACCGGCGAUUUCCGAAUGGGGAAACCCAGUGUGUUUCGACACACUAUCAUUAACUGAAUCCAUAGGUUAAUGAGGCGAACCGGGGGAACUGAAACAUCUAAGUACCCCGAGGAAAAGAAAUCAACCGAGAUUCCCCCAGUAGCGGCGAGCGAACGGGGAGCAGCCCAGAGCCUGAAUCAGUGUGUGUGUUAGUGGAAGCGUCUGGAAAGGCGCGCGAUACAGGGUGACAGCCCCGUACACAAAAAUGCACAUGCUGUGAGCUCGAUGAGUAGGGCGGGACACGUGGUAUCCUGUCUGAAUAUGGGGGGGACCAUCCUCCAAGGCUAAAUACUCCUGACUGACCGAUAGUGAACCAGUACCGUGAGGGAAAGGCGAAAAGAACCCCGGCGAGGGGAGUGAAAAAGAACCUGAAACCGUGUACGUACAAGCAGUGGGAGCACGCUUAGGCGUGUGACUGCGUACCUUUUGUAUAAUGGGUCAGCGACUUAUAUUCUGUAGCAAGGUUAACCGAAUAGGGGAGCCGAAGGGAAACCGAGUCUUAACUGGGCGUUAAGUUGCAGGGUAUAGACCCGAAACCCGGUGAUCUAGCCAUGGGCAGGUUGAAGGUUGGGUAACACUAACUGGAGGACCGAACCGACUAAUGUUGAAAAAUUAGCGGAUGACUUGUGGCUGGGGGUGAAAGGCCAAUCAAACCGGGAGAUAGCUGGUUCUCCCCGAAAGCUAUUUAGGUAGCGCCUCGUGAAUUCAUCUCCGGGGGUAGAGCACUGUUUCGGCAAGGGGGUCAUCCCGACUUACCAACCCGAUGCAAACUGCGAAUACCGGAGAAUGUUAUCACGGGAGACACACGGCGGGUGCUAACGUCCGUCGUGAAGAGGGAAACAACCCAGACCGCCAGCUAAGGUCCCAAAGUCAUGGUUAAGUGGGAAACGAUGUGGGGAAGGCCCAGACAGCCAGGAUGUUGGCUUAGAAGCAGCCAUCAUUUAAAGAAAGCGUAAUAGCUCACUGGUCGAGUCGGCCUGCGCGGAAGAUGUAACGGGGCUAAACCAUGCACCGAAGCUGCGGCAGCGACGCUUAUGCGUUGUUGGGUAGGGGAGCGUUCUGUAAGCCUGCGAAGGUGUGCUGUGAGGCAUGCUGGAGGUAUCAGAAGUGCGAAUGCUGACAUAAGUAACGAUAAAGCGGGUGAAAAGCCCGCUCGCCGGAAGACCAAGGGUUCCUGUCCAACGUUAAUCGGGGCAGGGUGAGUCGACCCCUAAGGCGAGGCCGAAAGGCGUAGUCGAUGGGAAACAGGUUAAUAUUCCUGUACUUGGUGUUACUGCGAAGGGGGGACGGAGAAGGCUAUGUUGGCCGGGCGACGGUUGUCCCGGUUUAAGCGUGUAGGCUGGUUUUCCAGGCAAAUCCGGAAAAUCAAGGCUGAGGCGUGAUGACGAGGCACUACGGUGCUGAAGCAACAAAUGCCCUGCUUCCAGGAAAAGCCUCUAAGCAUCAGGUAACAUCAAAUCGUACCCCAAACCGACACAGGUGGUCAGGUAGAGAAUACCAAGGCGCUUGAGAGAACUCGGGUGAAGGAACUAGGCAAAAUGGUGCCGUAACUUCGGGAGAAGGCACGCUGAUAUGUAGGUGAAGUCCCUCGCGGAUGGAGCUGAAAUCAGUCGAAGAUACCAGCUGGCUGCAACUGUUUAUUAAAAACACAGCACUGUGCAAACACGAAAGUGGACGUAUACGGUGUGACGCCUGCCCGGUGCCGGAAGGUUAAUUGAUGGGGUUAGCCGCAAGGCGAAGCUCUUGAUCGAAGCCCCGGUAAACGGCGGCCGUAACUAUAACGGUCCUAAGGUAGCGAAAUUCCUUGUCGGGUAAGUUCCGACCUGCACGAAUGGCGUAAUGAUGGCCAGGCUGUCUCCACCCGAGACUCAGUGAAAUUGAACUCGCUGUGAAGAUGCAGUGUACCCGCGGCAAGACGGAAAGACCCCGUGAACCUUUACUAUAGCUUGACACUGAACAUUGAGCCUUGAUGUGUAGGAUAGGUGGGAGGCUUUGAAGUGUGGACGCCAGUCUGCAUGGAGCCGACCUUGAAAUACCACCCUUUAAUGUUUGAUGUUCUAACGUUGACCCGUAAUCCGGGUUGCGGACAGUGUCUGGUGGGUAGUUUGACUGGGGCGGUCUCCUCCUAAAGAGUAACGGAGGAGCACGAAGGUUGGCUAAUCCUGGUCGGACAUCAGGAGGUUAGUGCAAUGGCAUAAGCCAGCUUGACUGCGAGCGUGACGGCGCGAGCAGGUGCGAAAGCAGGUCAUAGUGAUCCGGUGGUUCUGAAUGGAAGGGCCAUCGCUCAACGGAUAAAAGGUACUCCGGGGAUAACAGGCUGAUACCGCCCAAGAGUUCAUAUCGACGGCGGUGUUUGGCACCUCGAUGUCGGCUCAUCACAUCCUGGGGCUGAAGUAGGUCCCAAGGGUAUGGCUGUUCGCCAUUUAAAGUGGUACGCGAGCUGGGUUUAGAACGUCGUGAGACAGUUCGGUCCCUAUCUGCCGUGGGCGCUGGAGAACUGAGGGGGGCUGCUCCUAGUACGAGAGGACCGGAGUGGACGCAUCACUGGUGUUCGGGUUGUCAUGCCAAUGGCACUGCCCGGUAGCUAAAUGCGGAAGAGAUAAGUGCUGAAAGCAUCUAAGCACGAAACUUGCCCCGAGAUGAGUUCUCCCUGACUCCUUGAGAGUCCUGAAGGAACGUUGAAGACGACGACGUUGAUAGGCCGGGUGUGUAAGCGCAGCGAUGCGUUGAGCUAACCGGUACUAAUGAACCGUGAGGCUUAACCUU
rnacentral:rRNA from 1 species